rnacentral:rRNA from 1 species
CCUACGGGAGGCAGCAGUAGGGAAUAUUGCUCAAUGGGGGAAACCCUGAAGCAGCAACGCCGCGUGGAGGAUGAAGGUUUUCGGAUUGUAAACUCCUUUUGUUAGAGAAGAUAAUGACGGUAUCUAACGAAUAAGCACCGGCUAACUCCGUGCCAGCAGCCGCGGUAAUACGGAGGGUGCAAGUGUUACUCGGAAUCACUGGGCGGAAAGAGCGCGUAGGCGGGAUAGCAAGUCAGAUGUGAAAUCCUAUGGCUUAACCAUAGAACUGCAUUUGAAACUGUUAUUCUAGAGUAUGGGAGAGGUAGGUGGAAUUCUUGGUGUAGGGGUAAAAUCCGUAGAGAUCAAGAGGAAUACUCAUUGCGAAGGCGACCUGCUAGAACAUAACAGACGCUGAUGCGCGAAAGCGUGGGGAGCAAACAGGAUUAGAUACCCGAGUAGUC